GGCUCAAUGGUCUAGAGGUAUGAUUCUCGCUUUGGGUGCGAGAGGUCCCGGGUUCAAUUCCCGGUUGAGCCC
rfam:Lutzomyia longipalpis Contig22642, whole genome shotgun sequence.